rnacentral:rRNA from 1 species
GUCCUUUUGAUAAUAAUAUAAGGUCUAACCUGCCCACUGAAAUUUUAAAGGGCCGCAGUAUUUUAACUGUGCAAAGGUAGCAUAAUAAUUAGUUUCUUAAUUAGAAGCUUGUAUGAAUGGUUGAACGAGAAAUUUACUGUCUCAAUUUAUAAAUUAAAAUUUUAUUUUUAAGUUAAAAAGCUUAAAUAUAUUUAAAAGACGAGAAGACCCUAUAGAGUUUUAUAAUUAUUAAUAUUUAAAAAUUAGAAUUUUAUUUUUAUUUAUAAUUAUUUUAUUGGGGUGAUAUAUAAAUUUAAUAAACUUUAUAUUUUUAUUAACAUUAAUUAAUGAUAAAUUGAUCCAUAAUAAUGAUUAAAAGAAAAAAUUACCUUAGGGAUAACAGCGUAAUUUUUUUUUAGAGUUCUAAUCGAAAAAAAAGAUUGCGACCUCGAUGUUGGAUUAAAAUUAAUUUUUGGUGUAGAAGCUAAAAUAUUAGGUCUGUUCGACCUUUAAAAUUUUACAUGAUCUGA